UUUAAAACAAACUGUUUUUUUUUUUUUUUUUAUCAAGCUCUUCAAGCUCUAGAUAUUUGCUGUUGUGAGUUGAUCCCUUCGUGGAAAUGUACCAGCAAUGGCAAUCCCGUGGCAGAUGCAGGGACUGCCUUUCCCGUGGGCCUGGGCCUCUGCUUUCAACUUGGCAGCCACUGGCUGAACCCAAAUUAAUCUCCAGUGUGUGAGCCAGUCAAUGGAAAAAUACAGAGGCUGCCUCAGGGAGCUGCCAGGGAAAACAGUUCACUCAUGUCUCCUCACAGCCCAGACCGGGAGCGAUCCCUCUCACGGGUCACCUUUGCUGAGAUGCUGCAGAAAAUGGCAAUGCUUGAGGCAAAAUCAGUAUGAAAAUCAGGAUGAAAAGAUUCCAUUUGAAUGUUUGUUUCCCAGAGAGAACUGAUGCAGACACAACGUAAUGUUUAAGGCUCAUGUGACAGUGACAGCUGUCAGUUUAAGAGCUGCCACUGAGUUCUGGGGUCCCCUAAGUGUUUUGCCUGUGUUCACAAUCUUUCCCAGAGAAAGAGACAAGGCCGCUGAGUCAGUGUCCUAAUUAUUAGGUGGUCUCACAGAGACUGGAGUCUCAGUGAAGACCAGCCAAAAGAGCUCGAGCGGGGUUGCUAAAUGUAAAGUUUUCUAACUAGCUGUGUUCCCCACUAGUCCAGAAUUUGGCCUCAGUUUUCUGCUCUGUGUAACAAAGACAACAAAAGCUGCUUCCUGUGCUCACUGAGGACGAUGGAGCAACAAAUGGAUCCCCUUGUCAACAGUGACAUCUAGUUUUCCCACCCAGUGAAAUGACCGGUUUGCCCUGAUCUGAAGGGUCGGUUUCAUCCUGGCUCUUUAAUUUCAGGCUGCGGAAAGGCAUAGAUGCCCGUCCUGUGCUUUCCUGUGGUUUCCCCCGGCAUCCAUCCGAUGAGGCUUCAGCCCCCACCACCUCCUCAGCAUCCUCUCCUUCCUUUCCGGCGAACUCUGCAACUUGAAGCUCUCCUGCUUUGUACUUACAUCCUCUGGCAUGCGUCCCCCACCCCACCCUCCCUCCCGUCCACCCCACCCCCACCCCGUCCGUGGUCUCAACUUAACCAGAAUGACAUCAUGGUGCCUACACCUUUAAGAUUAUAUAAAUCUGUGAUCCCGCCUUGGCCUCCGUUCCCAUGGUAACACUGAGGAGUUUCCCUUUUGUGAGGAAAGCUGUCAUGUCACUUCCUGCUGCUGACAAGUCAGUUUGGGAGAUUAAAAUGAAGGGGGGCGGGGUGCCUCUGAGAAGUGCUGGCUGCUUGGUUUCUGUUGCUGUAUACAGAGGCAAACAAUGCCAGCCUGCUGACCCUGCCUUGCUGGAGCGGGCUUUCCCACACCCCCUAGUGGGGUGUAUCCCGGUCACCUGGGGCUGUUUGUCUCCAAAGGUUGCAUUCUGGGUAGCAGGUAGGAGGGCUGCCCACCUCUGGGGACUUUUUUUUCUGAUGCUGUGCUGGGCAAGUUUGUUCAAGAACAACCCAGUUGAAUCCAGCCUCGUUCUGCUCUAGUGUCUGAUUAGCUCUGGGUUUUGUUCUCCGAAGAACAAAGGGUCCUCACAGUAUUGGCCUUGAAGUGUUGUCUUACAGAGAACUUCUGUUGAGGAAAGUACCUAAAAACAAAACAAAACAAAAAACAAACAAACAAACAAAAAACCCAUCUCCUAAUGAGCUUUUAAAUCUAAGAGCCGUCCCACUCAUCCAUUACCUCCAUUGCGUAUCUAUGACUCCAUUGCCCUCUAAUUGGUGAAAGACCAAGCACUUGCUGGUAAGUGACCUCAAACUGGGAUGUGUGUGUAAGGAGACCAUGGGAUAUGGAUGGAGCCAUGAAGGCAGGUUGGUAAAAAAGGACAUUCCAGUGUGGCUGGUCAGACACAGGUUGCUCAGGGGUCACCAGCCACAUUGAGGCCCGAAUGGCGCACUGGGAAAGAAGCUUAGCCCAAAGGACAGCAAAACCGGAGCCUUGAAUGGACCAUUUGUGGACAGGGAAUAGAACAUUUGAGUGGGUCGAACCUGUGAGUCCCGGAUUUUGAUAGUACUCUUGAAGCCUCAGUUUCCCCAUCUUUAAUGUGGGACAAUCACCCCUUGCUCUAAAGGCGAUUUUGAUUCAUGAUUUAACUUAAUGAAAAGCACAUUAUUGAGACUUGUGAGUCAGCUGGUCCCCAUUCUGUCACAGCAUGGAUGCCCCUCCCUGAGCAGAGUGCCCUGGCAGAGGGAAACGGGUAAGCUGUCCUGCCUAUGUCAUGACGCCAGCCUGCAUUCACAUAAUGCCUGUCACUAAGCCUCGCCAGAAGAAGUGGCCUUGCUCUGAGAUCACUCCGCCCUGCCCCACUGGCCUGGGCCCUCUGAGAGACAGUUUCCUCAUCUGUAAGAGGCACCUGAAGUGUCAUCCAGCUUCCUCUCCUGGGCCUAAGGCCCCUCCAUCCUCAAGGCCAGGGAGCCUGCAGUCCUAGGCUUCGUUCAGGUUGGCUGCAGAAGCCACAGGCUAGAAGUCAGAUGUUUCUUAAGAUGGCACAUGGGGGGGGGGAACCUUAGAAAAGUGCUAGUGUAAUGGACUUGACCCUCCCAAGAAUGGGCUUCCCCAAAGCGUCUAUGGAAGGAAGGUACCACCUACUCCCAAGUCCCAGGCCUGUCUUUGCCUUGCCCUGGACCACACCAUAAAGAUGGAAUUAUGAAUCACCACCACAACUGGCAUCAGUCACUCAUCCAUCCCUUCAGCAGUGACACUGAGACCCAGAGAUGUCCAGUGUCCUGGGCCAAGUAACAUAAUGGAGGCAGAAACAGCAUUAAAACACCACAGGGGCUGCAGGCACUGGAACCUUCCAGCCUCUAACCCUCCUCCACAGCUCGGAAGACCUAGAAAGAACACCACAGCUCUGCUGGCUAGAACCAGUUAACAGAGUCUCUGGCAUCACUGGCUCACUCCUGAACCAGCUAUGAGCACCUGCUACUAAGUGAAGACCAGGUCACUGGGUCAUCUUGAUCCAGUCCCCGUAAAAGAGCUCCCCUGUUUUCUGCUUAGGGACUCUUAGGUGAGUACCUUUCCUUCUGGAAGUGUUAGCUUCCUCACCCACACCGAGUUCCACCUGCUUUAAGGACCACAGUGAGGCUCAAGAAUGGCCCAGCAAGUGACAGUCCUUUGGGUUGUGCCCAAACCUUGCUUGUGCAAGAGUGGUGUCUGUCCCCAUUUUCCUAUGUUCCCCAAUAGUUCCUGGCUGAGUCAGACCCUCACACACUUUGCCACCUUGCUCAGAGCUCCGGGGACUCCACCCUCCCUAUACCCUAGAAGAUGUUCCAGGUCACGUUCUAGGGCUCACUCAUCUCUAUUUUGUGCACAAGAGAUAUCUCUAAGCCUGCUGAUGCCAUGUCCCCAGCACUAAUGCUACCCAUGACCCAGAUGGCCCCACUCUGGAGGACUUGGCCUAGGUCACAGCUGCCAUUUUUUUUCUCUGACCUUCUUCCUGCAGGUCAAGGUCCUGGCACAGGCUCAAGCAAAGGUCUCCAGUCCACAGAGCUCUUUCUCUACACAUGCAGCUCUGGGUACGAAUGAAUACAUGUUAUCAGUGUGGUAGGCAGGGGCCAUAUAAAGGUUGAUUCAUGAGGCUGAGACCUUCGUGGGGUUCAGGUGCAGUCUGGUGGGGGAGACAGACACAAUGUGGUGACCUUAGGUGUUAGUCACACAGAGAGCCAUCCAGGGAGAGGCAACAGGGUUGGUGUGAUGUGGUGUGGUGUGGUGGCAGCGGUGGGAGAGGGUAGAGCAUUGCUACGGAAACGUGGAGUGCCAGGGGAGGGUUGUGAGAAUAAGACUUGCUGGCUGACCUCAAGGGACCCUAAGGAGCUUCAGCGGGAUGGCUGCAGGGCCCGAGGAAGGAAAGGCCCUCCGGGUGGCUCUGAGGUAUCUAGGGCACAGGGUGCUAGCUACCUCCAUGGGGAAGCCUCAGGUACAAGGCUCAGGUCUGCUAUUCUUCAUGACCCUAGGCGUGUUCCUUCCUUCUGAGACUCCCAUUUCAUCCCUUCAUCUACAUAAAGUAGCCGCUACGGCACAACAGAGUACCUGCACUCUGCACAGGCUAAACUCUGUCUUUUCUUUCUUUCUUUUCCUGGUUGCUUAUGGUCCCUGAUUUGGCUGAGGGUCCUAGUUUCUUCGUCUGAGAACCCAGGAACUGCUUCUCUGUGUUUGUGGCUAUAUGGGCUGUGGCAAGCUGAUGCACCCUUUAGUCGGCAUCUUGGAAAAGCAUGGCACCAGCCUCCUUGGAUUCCCAAGACAUCCCUGGCUGCCCAAGGGCCUUUGAGGAUUGCACCUCUGUGUGGAUUCCCUUGUCCUUGGCCACUUCCCUGCCUCCUCCAUGCCUCCCGCUGGUCACCCUGUCAUAUCACCAGACGGAUGCUUGCCAGGGCCUGUGAAGAAGUUCCUGAAGAAGUUCCUUUCUGGGCUGUCAGAUGGCUCAGUGGGUAAGAGCACCUGACUGCUCUUCUGAAGGUCCAGAGUUCAAAU